UACGUAGGUGGCAAGCGUUAUCCGGAAUUAUUGGGCGUAAGGAGGGAGCAGGCGGCAGCAAAGGUCUGUGGUGAAAGACUGAAGCUUAACUUCAGUAAGCCAUAGAAACCGGGCAGCUAGAGUGCAGGAGAGGAUCGUGGAAUUCCAUGUGUAGCGGUGAAAUGCGUAGAUAUAUGGAGGAACACCAGUGGCGAAGGCGACGAUCUGGCCUGCAACUGACGCUCAGUCCCGAAAGCGUGGGGAGCAAAUAGG
rnacentral:rRNA from 1 species